ACAAGGACAGUCACACUCGCUGCAUUCCUAUCAAGCGCAUGAAGCAUGCUGCCUACGGACACUGAGAAGAAACACGUCUUGGACCAAACGUCGGAGUGAAAUACAUGGUACUGCUACUUCGACCUCGGGAGGUCCCGAGUUCGAAUGCUUCCCCGAUUAACGGUCCGACAUCACCGAAGUUUUUAGUGGUUUUUCGGUCUCUGCAGAAACCUUUAAAUACCUUUCCAAAUUCGUAAUUCUCUUCUCAAAUUCUGGGUUAAUGCCUUAAAAUAUGCGUCCCUCCACCUUCUCCAAAAACCACUCUCCGUCACAAAAUCGCUAAACAAAACUGUCCAUAUAGGAGUACAUCCAGUUUAAAAUGAAACAUCCAAGGUUGUUUUGAAGGUUCCCCGAUGCAAAUAUAAACGCAGACCAUUUACAGUCUCGCAGAGGCGUUGAGUGGUAAUUUACGCACGCACCUGAGGCUAAACAGUGUUCACGGAUUCAGUCUCGUCAGAGCGGUGGACGGAAGCUGUUUCACAGCACGCGGACGUCUGAAAGCGCACUGUGUUGGUUGAUAAAUUAAUUAACCUACAUUUUCUUGGCUUUUCAGCACGCAAUGAAGAAAUAUUAUGCAGUAAUUCGCUACACAAAAUUAUACCAAUGGCAAGAUAAAUUUCGUAAAAGUGGAAAAGAUCUACACUUCCUAAAACUUGUCAAAUCAAAUAUUUUUUCUCUCUCCAGAUUUCCUUCAAAUAAGUUCGUAAAAUUAAUAAAUAAUGGGAACAUUCCCACCCGCGUGUCUGUUCACACUUGUAAUCAACGGAAUUAAUGAACAGAUUUUCAUACAACCGGCUAACAGUUAUCCUGCAGCUGUCACAGACUGCAUGGAAAUUAGAAAUGACGUGGGGAAUGGCCGUGGUCUAUUUUAACGCACAAUCCCAAUACAUCCCCAGAGAAAAUAAAUACGCCAGGAUUUCCAGUGGGUGGGUACUUGGCAAAUGCAAACCAACAGAACAAACCGGAAGACGCACACAUCAACGUCGGAGCGAAGGCAAUGGGUGAGGAACUGGGAAGGAGACGGCAGAAGCCGAUUGUGGCCUACUAGCGAUGGUGAUGAAAGACACGUCGGAGCCGAGGGUCCUGAGAACCACAAGUCUUGACAGCGUGAGCGAACAUAACCUGCAAGAGAACAAAUCACCAAUUUGUUAACACAGGAAGGCGCUCGUUUCAAGUGGACUCAACACCCGAAGCCGGGGCUCAGUGGUUACCACACCUCAUUCGUCCCGGGAUCAGAUGCUGGCAAGGAGACCAACUAUCCUGACUAAGGUUUAUCAUGGUUUCCCUCAGUCAAAUACCGGAAAAUUACAAUGAAGAAUUAGGCCGCGACAGCUUCCUUCCAUAUCCUUACCAAUUCAUUAUUCAUUAAUCAUCCUAUCAAACGAUGUGAGCUACUAACAGCGUUGUUAAGUGCCGAAAUAUAUAAACAAAUACACUUAUUAACGUAAGACGUUCAAUCAGGCGAGGCUGGCAGAAUAGAUGAAUAAUUACAAAAUUUAGUGAUCUAACGAGCAGAUGAAUGUAUACGACACAUCCAAUAACGUAUAAUAAUUAAAUGGAGGAAACGAUAAAUCGAUAUUUAGAGUAUAACUAACGAAUCAACGCAGAUAAGUAAAAUUUGGAAGUGCACACGUUAAUAGACGUCUCUUGUCAAAACUUACAAACCUGUAGACGCGGCGACAUUUUAGAACUCAUCUACACAAAUAAAUACAUCGCUGAGUUUUAUAAAUUAUAAGUUUAUAAUUCCUAUCAACUUACGUAUAAAUAUGGAAGUUUCUGAAAGGAA